ACCAAGGAAAAGGAGCCGGUAUCAGGCUCAACUUUAAGCCCACGACACCUAGCCACGCCACGCCCACAAGGGUAUUCAGCAGUGAUAAACCUUGUUUAUAAGCGCAAGCUUGAAUCAGCUAUGGCAAAGAGGGCCGGCAAAUCCGGUGCCAGCCGCCGCGGCUACACCGUUAGGCCCAAGUUGACACACACCGGCGUUAAGCGUGAUUAGAGUGAUUACACUGAUUAGAGUUAAACCCAAACUUAGUCGUGAUACACUUGUUCCCGGGAAACCCAAAAACGAAAGUUACUCUAACCAACCCACUUGACCCCACGACAGCUAGGACACAAACUGGGAUUAGGUACCCCACUAUGCCUAGCCGUAAAAUAUACACUCACCCCAUAAAUCGCCAGGGAAUUACGAGCCCAAGCUUAAAACCCAAAGGACUUGACGGUGUCCCACCCACCUAGAGGAGCCUGUUCUAUAAUCGAUUCCCCCCGAUAAACCUCACCACUUCUGGCCAACUCAGCCUGUAUACCUCCGUCGUAAGCUUACCAUGUGAACGAAACCAGUGAGCCAAAAGAUCCAACAUCAGUACGUCAGGUCAAGGUGCAGCUAACGAACUGGAAAGAAAUGGGCUACAAUUUCUACCAUAGAACAAACGAAAGGCUACAUGAAACAUAGUCACUGAAGGCGGAUUUAGCAGUAAAAAGAAAA
rnacentral:rRNA from 1 species